GCAGCUGUGGACAAAAUUGAGCCAAAUAAAGGGACGAGCAUCAACAAAACAGAAAGAGAGACUGUAACGCUGAGCUGCUCAUAUGAUUCAUACAGUGAAUAUGUACGUCUGUACUGGUACAGACAAUAUCACAAUGGAGAACCUCAAUAUUUAUUAUAUAUAUUCAAAAAGGUAAAAAUGCUUAAAAGGGUUUAGGGUUGCAACUGUGCGUGCUACAAAAAUCAGUAUCAGUAAUGAGCACAGGCCACUAAGAAAAACUGUUCCUUCAAAAUAAAGCUUCUCUUUUGUCUUGAAGUAGGCUAUCAAAAGAGGAGGGACCUAGAUCUGACAUGAUGCAGUUAUGUCUGACAGAGACUGCAGUAGAAAUGAUUCAGUCUGACUCUUCUCAGAGUGAACACUUGUACAAUGGAUCUUCGCUCAGUUAUUCUGUUCUGUGUCUCAACCGUUGCUGUCUUUGGGAAUGUCAUUAAACCAAACAAAACAGAUGUUUUUGCUGAGGAGGGUUCAAGUGUUACAUUGUCCUGUAGUUUUUCUGCAUCUGGAGGUAAUGAUUAUCUCCACUGGUACCGUCAGUAUGGAAGAUCAAAACCUGAAUUUCUUGUACUCACCUUCAGCAAUGCAAAAGAAGCUCAGCGGUCUGAUGUUGAUCCAAGAUUCACUGUUAAAGUUGAAAAAAGGGAAAAUGUGAUUCUGGAGAUGUCCUCUGCAUCUAUAUCAGACUCUGCUCUGUACUACUGUGCUCUGAGGCCCACAGUCACAGGAAACACAUCAACACCGUACAAAAACCUGUUACAAUGA